CGUUGUAGCCCUAAUGCACUUCACGCACCUUCGUACUCUAUACCACUCAUCGUCUUUGUUUACAAGCGAUCGCUCGACGCUAGCCGCAUGACUUUUGUUUUUUCUUUAUCUUUAAGGAAAACGGUCCAGUCUACGUUUGAUGUGUUUAGUCUUGACGUUAUUAAUUUUCUAUAAUUGUUUUAUCGUGGUUUUAUGUUCAUUUUGUCGGGAAGUUAUCCGUUUCUGUCAACAGCUCAUGCAGACAAUCGAAAGAGCCUGAUGAUGUGGCUACGCCUCGAAAAUUUGCCAGAUAAAUAGAUGAAAUGCUGCUAGACGACGCCUUGUGAUGCCCAAGUAAAAUGAAGACAAGACCGGAACGAAAAAUGCAACCGAAUCGAGUUUCAUCAUUUAAACUUCUCUCAUUAUCUGGAUAAUCUCAGCCAUAGUUGCCUGCCUCCUUCUACAAUUAUCGAGUGAAGGAGUCUGCAACUCUAGACUUUGUGAUGCCAGAUUACAAUACACA